rnacentral:pre_miRNA from 1 species
CGGGGGAGGUCGGAUCCUGGGCUGUGUCCCGGCGCCCUGUGCUCCGGGGCCUGCGCUGUUGGAUUCGCGCUCCCGCCCCGCAGCCCCCU